rnacentral:rRNA from 1 species
CGUAGGGUGCGAGCGUUAAUCGGAAUUACUGGGCGUAAAGUGUGCGCAGGCGGCCUCGCAAGUCGAGUGUGAAAUCCCCGGGCUUAACUUGGGAAUUGCGCUCGAAACUACUUGGCUUGAGUGUGGCAGAGGAAGGUGGAAUUCCACGUGUAGCGGUGAAAUGCGUAGAUAUGUGGAGGAACACCGAUGGCGAAGGCAGCCUUCUGGGCCAACACUGACGCUCAUGCACGAAAGCGUGGGGAGCAAACAGGAUUAGAUACCCUGGUAGUCCACGCCCUAAACGAUGAUGACUAGUUGUUGGGGGAGUUAAAUCCCUUAGUAACGCAGCUAACGCGUGAAGUCAUCCGCCUGGGGAGUACGGUCGCAAGAUUA